GUGUGGGGGGGGGGGGGGGGGGGCAGUGAUUGGCUUUGAUGGAGAUCAGCGGAGAGCUCAGCCAGUCUAGAUCUGGUUUUCCUUCAGAAAUGAAGCUUUCACCUCACUGGGACUGAAACAAACGGACACCCACAAACAUCUGGCUCUUGUCUCUGGUGGAAAAGGUUGCAAUCAGUUCUCAUUCCCACCACUAAUGAAGUCGCACGCGCUGAACGACUCAGGUCAGGUCAGGGGGGACAGUAUCCGCGCGAACGGCCUCUUUCCAGCCAGAUACGAUGUCACGUGCGUGCAAGAGGAAAUGUAAUAAAUUAAACCAGCAGGGAUUUGUACAACUAUAAUUCAAUAAAAUGUGUGUGUUAACCAGCGAAACAGUUUCACUUGUAGUCUACCCUCCAUUUUAAAACCUGCAUAUUUGUGCUAAUUCACGUUGUCGUGUCAUAAGAGCUGACGUUUCCAGCCAGAACUCCAAAAAGGAAAAGUCCCACAGCAAAAGCGCCAGGAAGAAAACUGUUCAUUAUUGCAUCUAAACUGGGAAAGCACCUGGUCUUGUUCGCAGGGGGGAGAGGGGGGGUGAGGGCGGCCUGCUGUGAGGUAAUCUCCUUCCUGUACACCGAGAGGACGGCGCACAGGACGCCAACUCCAAACCUCGUUUUCUGACCGGCGCUUUAAAAAAAAGAAAAAAGAUGCCGAGCCUCUCUGGAUCUUGGGUUUGGUUUAAAAAAAGGCCUCGUCUUCUUUUAUUACUCAACUCUUCAAUUCUCCCUCGGCAUCCUUUUGAGUUUGUUCUUUUUCUAUCCCUUUAAUUCUCGGCGUUCGCCACCUCGGUGACCGCCGGGAGGAUUUGGGUCACACGUCGAAACGGCAGCCAGCCGCAUCGUCGUCGUCUCGUUCCAGCCGCAGAGACAAAACCGACGCAGUCCAGACCACUUUGGACUGAAAGGGUUCUUCCCAUUUGGCAAGUGAGUGAGUGAGUGAGCGGUUGCCACGCUUUUCAGGCUCGUGGUAUUGAAUGACGAUGACAUUCUUCCCACGGUGGACUCAUCUGAGCCUCUCUUCGUAACACCGAUUAACACCACGGGUGGAGUAUUGGGAGAAAACAGGUCACACGUUGACACACGAAGUCGGCAGAGGAGGCGUGAAUCCGUCAGUCAGAUUGCAUCGGCCAAUCAGAAGCGGGCAGGAAAAACCGGUCCAAGCCGCAGGCAAGCGCAGCUCGAGGGAGAGACUACGGCGAAGAAGAAAAACUACUAGGACACAAAUCCUGCGUGGCCGGUCGGACCUGAUGUGUGGGCCAAUGGUGAAUGAGGAGAGACGACACUGAGGAGCUCUCCGUUCCCCCGGUACGCCGACCAAGAACAUAAAGACAUUUACUUUUACUGCCGCAUAAAAUCCAAAACCAGGGCUACGCUUAAUUAUGGAAUAAAACGCGGUCUUUUUGGAGGCCGUUCCUGGUCGGGAGGCGAGCUCGUCUUUACAGAUGUGCAGGAUUGAGAUCCAGGCUCGCCGCCAGAGGAUUUAUCUCAAUGGGGCGAAGACACGGUCCUCCCCUCUUUAUGACUUAUCUUCCCCCGGGGACGGAGAGAGAAAAAAGAAGUUCUCCUUCUGUGCAAAUCCCCACGUUCCCCCCGAGGGACGUCGCCCAGAGGCCCAUCGGUGGGGCUCUGAGGCUCGUUCAUGCGCGGCGGGUAAAUAACAGGGUUCUGAAACAGGGAGGAACCGAGGAGCAGAGGUGAUUUCAUGCGAGUGUUGUUACGUGGGGAAGGAAAGAGGAGGAGGGGGAGGAGGAAGUGGAAGUGGAAGCAGAGCUGAUGAUCCACUGAUCAACAUCAUGCAGAGCCGCUAACCGCUCACAGAUGAAGACGACGCCAAACUUGCUUCACGGAAAAAACAGAAACUACAAAAGAAGUUAUUGAUUUUGUCAUUUUUUUUGUCUUUACACCCCCGAGAAACUUCUUAGAGGAGAAGAUGUUGGAAUAAAAUCAAAACCAACAACUGGUAUUCUUACCAAAUGAAUUCAAAUUAAAUUGCUAAAUUCUCCACUCGUUCAUCGACGCUUCGAAAAUAAAGGCGGCUAUUUAUAUUA